CGGAGGGAAACCGAGUCUUAAUUGGGCGUUAAGUUGCAGGGUAUAGACCCGAAACCCGGUGAUCUAGCCAUGGGCAGGUUGAAGGUUGGGUAACACUAACUGGAGGACCGAACCGACUAAUGUUGAAAAAUUAGCGGAUGACCUGUGGCUGGGGGUGAAAGGCCAAUCAAACCGGGAGAUAGCUGGUUCUCCCCGAAAGCUAUUUAGGUAGCGCCUCGUGAAUUCAUCUCCGGGGGUAGAGCACUGUUUCGGCUAGGGGGCCAUCCCGGCUUACCAACCCGAUGCAAACUGCGAAUACCGGAGAAUGUUAUCACGGGAGACACACGGCGGGUGCUAACGUCCGUCGUGAAGAGGGAAACAACCCAGACCGCCAGCUAAGGUCCCAAAGUCAUGGUUAAGUGGGAAACGAUGUGGGAAGGCCCAGACAGCCAGGAUGUUGGCUUAGAAGCAGCCAUCAUUUAAAGAAAGCGUAAUAGCUCACUGGUCGAGUCGGCCUGCGCGGAAGAUGUAACGGGGCUAAACCAUGCACCGAAGCUGCGG
rnacentral:rRNA from 1 species